UGGGAUAACACCUGGAAACAGAUGCUAAUACCGGAUAACAACACUAGACGCAUGUCUAGAGUUUGAAAGAUGGUUCUGCUAUCACUCUUGGAUGGACCUGCGGUGCAUUAGCUAGUUGGUAAGGUAACGGCUUACCAAGGCAAUGAUGCAUAGCCGAGUUGAGAGACUGAUCGGCCACAUUGGGACUGAGACACGGCCCAAACUCCUACGGGAGGCAGCAGUAGGGAAUCUUCCACAAUGGACGAAAGUCUGAUGGAGCAACGCCGCGUGAGUGAAGAAGGGUUUCGGCUCGUAAAGCUCUGUUGGUAGUGAAGAAAGAUAGAGGUGGUAACUGGCCUUUAUUUGACGGUAAUUACUUAGAAAGUCACGGCUAACUACGUGCCAGCAGCCGCGGUAAUACGUAGGUGGCAAGCGUUGUCCGGAUUUAUUGGGCGUAAAGCGAGUGCAGGCGGUUCAAUAAGUCUGAUGUGAAAGCCUUCGGCUCAACCGGAGAAUUGCAUCAGAAACUGUUGAACUUGAGUGCAGAAGAGGAGAGUGGAACUCCAUGUGUAGCGGUGGAAUGCGUAGAUAUAUGGAAGAACACCAGUGGCGAAGGCGGCUCUCUGGUCUGCAACUGACGCUGAGGCUCGAAAGCAUGGGUAGCGAACAGGAUUAGAUACCCUGGUAGUCCAUGCCGUAAACGAUGAG
rnacentral:rRNA from 1 species